ACGUCAUCCCACAAUAUCCUCUCAGGAUAAUUCUUUUUGGUGUGAUGAUGACAUUCACAAGACAAACCAGCUCAUCUCAUUCCAACCAUAUGCCUGACAAUAGCACAAUACGCGAUGCAGUGACAUUUCGCAGAGAGAAGCUUUCCUUGACAUUCGGAUCGGUCAAGUUCAGAGGAGAAUCACUUUCAUUUGCGGAGUGAUUGGAAUAUAGAGAAGGCAACAUUAAAUAAAUCCAAGAAAAAAACACGAACCUCUUCGAACCAAGCAAGUAAACUGAAGCCAUGUAUGUACUAGCUAUUUCUGGUUAGAAUUUCAAAUCAGCCUCAACAACUUGCGUCAUCCACGUCCGACUUAAAAAUAACUUGUUACAGUAGUACAUAGUACAUUCAACCAAAAAGCAAGGUGCAUACGUUGUAUGCAUGUACAUAUCAUCAGUGAAGGAAACAAGUUAACUUUCACUUGUAAGGAGUCCGAGAAAAUCCAAAAAACCCGAUUUGAUAAAAAGUUAUAGAAUGAAACGCGAGUUCGACAACAACAACUUCUAAUUAAGAAGUUAUAAAUAUUUUUUCUUACCAUAUCCUUUCUCCAUGUUGCAUGUUAUAAUAUUGUAUCCAGGAUCUUUAGCAAUGUGAGUGAAAAUGGCUGCGAAACCAAUCAUUCAAAUUAUUAUAGUUUACAUUUUGCAUUGGAACCAUGAACCAUAGAUCCAUGUACGAUUUGAACAGUUGACAGUGUGAACUAAAUAUCUAUGGAUCGAUGCCUUUAUAGAUUCCUUAGCGUUAGGUUAUAUUAUAUUUGCCUUUGCCUUGUAUGAAAAUUUCUGAUCAUUGUGAUGCUACAAUAAAAAAGAGCAUAUUUACGAAUUAUCGACC